GUGAGUAAAAUAUUAUCAUGAAGCAAGGUCCAGACAAAAAGGGGCCCAGAUGUGGUCCCAACUGAACCACCUACCUCUGAAUAAGGCCAACCGACAGACCUAAGCCUGCUCAGCAAUUCCAAAAGACUAAUGUCUAGCCAGCGGCUUGGACGUGUAUGUGUGUGUGUGUGUGUGUGUGUGUGUGUGUAAUUGAGGGGGGUUAUAAGGUCUUACUUAGCAAGCAGUUUUUAUUAAAAAAUCCAUCCCCAGUGCCUUGCUUCCAUUCUCAAAUGGGGUGAGGGUGGGGGAGGGAGAUGCAGUGGGGAAAUGCUGUAUAGUCUUCCUGCUUGAUUACCAGAGCCUUUCCGGAACGUAAUUCUCUCUGAAUGAAAUCUCAAAGGAUUGAGCCUGUGCUAAAGUUUCUAGUAUGAGAGCUGCACCAAGGUGAUAAUGCAAUUAACCUGAGUAAUACUUCAAACGUCUUGCUAAUAUAUACAUCAUGUAUAUGUAUAUGUAUAUGUAUAUGUAUAUGUAUAUGUAUAUGUAUAUGUAUAUGCAUAUGUAUAUGUGUGUGUGUGUAUAUGUAUGUGAUGUAUAUGUAUAUGAUGUAUAUGUAUGUGUAUAUGUAUUGACAGUUUAGACUGUGUUCAUAGUGUGAUUUCAAAAAUUAGCCUCAGAGGUUUGUGAAUUUGCUCAAAUUAAAAGGAUAAAGAUGUGUCAGUAUAAGAAGAACCGGCUGGCUCUUCUUAAUAUUUUCUAAUAUCGCUUAACAGCAUUCUGAACGGCUGCACUGCAGCCUUUCUCGGUUCACUUCCUAGACUCUGCAGCAAAAGUCUGUGAUUAUUAUUUAAGGAUCACGGUGAUUCCCUUCACGGCAUGGGGGAAUAAAGAAAAGCAAGAGCAGGGCUAUUAUCCUGUGUUUAUAACAAGUCUGUUGCCAUAGUAACGCCUGUGAUGUCACAAAUGCUACACCCAGGGCCAGAAGCUGUCUCCGAGGGGGAGGGGCAGCUUGGCCUUGGAAAAUGGACACAAGCAUUCCAGGCCAAAGCAGGGUCAACAGCGAGGUAAUCAUGGAAACACAGGGAGCUCCCUUCACCAGAGAAAGGAAGGGGGUGGAGCAGGGCCAGAAAAGCAACUCCCUGGGCCCAGAAGUGAGCUCACGCAUGCUUCUUAUACGCAGCUGUGCAAAGGGAGUGGAAAUCCAAGCGAAUGUGGUACCUCUGUGUUCCCAGUCAGGAUCACUCCACUGGGCUCACUGGCUGCCAAGACGUGAAUGGGAUCCAGGGUCUGCCCUAGCUCACGAAACUGCCGGGAACCAGUGCCUGCCCAGACAGAGCCUCUAAGGCCCGCAAGAGAUGCAAGUGCCUCACAUGGCAGCCCCUGAGAGCCUAGCUAGGACAUUCCCACCAAAAGUCAUCAAACUCAGAGAGCCACAGAUUCUCA
ensembl:antisense Gm29245 predicted gene 29245